rnacentral:rRNA from 1 species
UGGGGAAUUUUGGACAAUGGGCGCAAGCCUGAUCCAGCAAUGCCGCGUGCAGGAUGAAGGCCUUCGGGUUGUAAACUGCUUUUGUACGGAACGAAAAGGCUCAGGUUAAUACCUGGGGCUCAUGACGGUACCGUAAGAAUAAGCACCGGCUAACUACGUGCCAGCAGCCGCGGUAAUACGUAGGGUGCAAGCGUUAAUCGGAAUUACUGGGCGUAAAGCGUGCGCAGGCGGUCUUGUAAGACAGUCGUGAAAGCCCCGGGCUUAACCUGGGAACUGCAUUUGUGACUGCAUAGCUGGAGUGCGGCAGAGGGGGAUGGAAUUCCGCGUGUAGCAGUGAAAUGCGUAGAUAUGCGGAGGAACACCGAUGGCGAAGGCAAUCCCCUGGGCCUGUACCGACGCUCAUGCACGAAAGCGUGGGGAGCAAACA